UAUUCAAGAGGGAUUCUGUUGCUAUUUUUUUUCAGGCGAACAAUAAUAGACCCUGAAUUAAGUUGAGUAAAUAUUUUUCUC
rnacentral:ncRNA from 1 species